rnacentral:rRNA from 1 species
CCUACGGGUGGCAGCAGUGAGGAAUAUUGGUCAAUGGACGAGAGUCUGAACCAGCCAAGUAGCGUGAAGGAUGACUGCCCUAUGGGUUGUAAACUUCUUUUAUAUGGGAAUAAAACGUUGCACGUGUGGGAUUUUGUAUGUACCAUAUGAAUAAGGAUCGGCUAACUCCGUACCAGCAGCCGCGGUAAUACGGAGGAUCCGAGCGUUAUCCGGAUUUAUUGGGUUUAAAGGGAGCGUAGGUGGAUUGUUAAGUCAGUUGUGAAAGUUUGCGGCUCAACCGUAAAAUUGCAGUUGAAACUGGCAGUCUUGAGUACAGUAGAGGUGGGCGGAAUUCGUGGUGUAGCGGUGAAAUGCUUAGAUAUCACGAAGAACUCCGAUUGCGAAGGCAGUUCACUGGACUGCAACUGACACUGAGGCUCGAAAGUGUGGGUAUCAAACAGGAUUAGAUACCCCAGUAGUC